rnacentral:rRNA from 1 species
GAUGAACGCUAGCUACAGGCUUAACACAUGCAAGUCGAGGGGAAACGACAUCGAAAGCUUGCUUUUGAUGGGCGUCGACCGGCGCACGGGUGAGUAACGCGUAUCCAACCUGCCCACCACUUGGGGAUAACCUUGCGAAAGUAAGACUAAUACCCAAUGAUAUCUCUAGAAGACAUCUGAAAGAGAUUAAAGAUUUAUCGGUGAUGGAUGGGGAUGCGUCUGAUUAGCUUGUUGGCGGGGUAACGGCCCACCAAGGCAACGAUCAGUAGGGGUUCUGAGAGGAAGGUCCGCCCAAUUGGAACUGAGACACGGUCCAAACUCCUACGGGAGGCAGCAGUGAGGAAUAUUGGUCAAUGGACGAGAGUCUGAACCAGCCAAGUAGCGUGCAGGAUGACGGCCCUAUGGGUUGUAAACUGCUUUUAUAAGGGAAUAAAGUGAGUCUCGUGAGGCUUUUUGCAUGUACCUUAUGAAUAAGGACCGGCUAAUUCCGUGCCAGCCGCCGCCGUAA